AUAGAACAAGAGAAGAUGGGGCAUCGUCAUAUCUCAUGGAAGCAUGUAUCGGAUAACUACUGCUUGACACAUCAUAAUGUGAAGCUGAUAGAUGAUAGUUCUGCACUUUCUUCCCACGGCGUCCGUAACAACUCUAAGGCUCCUUCGUGUGUGGUGCGUGGCUGUGUGCUCGUUCGUCCCAUGUAGGAGAACCGGCAGGCACCAGGCAGUGGCAAACCUAGGAUUUCAUAGAGGGUAUGCCUGGGCGCGGGCGGCAUUCGGAGCGGAGCGAGCCUGGGAGGGGAUGGAGGCUAAGGGUCUGUUUGGUCAGGCUUAGUCUCCAACUGAUAAUCUGGUGGAGCGGGACGCUCGGAGCAGCCGCCAGCGCGACGAAGACCGGCGGAGUUGGCUGAACAUUUUGGUUGGUACUCUGCCACUGGUUGCAAUGCAGAAACUUGCAAUCAUCUUUCAGAGAGAAAAAAAAGGGAACAUAUAGCAUGAUGAAGCGGCGGCGGCCAACGCACUAAAACUAGCCGCAUGCUUGCAAUGCUCAACAGCUGCCCGACGCAGCUAGUGUUCCAAAACCAAAUCAAACUGUUUAUUUUUUGAACCAAACUAAAUCAGACUGAUUGUUUUUUUAAGGAAUUUUGAUUCCAUUACGACGA